rnacentral:rRNA from 1 species
AUCAACGCUAAUCGGAUCAGGGUCAGUCGGGUCCUAAGGCUCAGCCGAACGGCGAUGCCGAUGGCAGAAACGGUUAAUAUUCCGUUACUACCUUCAGGAGUGACGUGGAGACGCAGUAGUGACAGUGCCGCCAUCUGACGGAAUAGAUGGUUGAAGGGUGUAGGAGUCGAUCAUGGCAGGCAAAUCCACCAUGAGAUCCGAACCUGACAGUAUGCCGCGUCCUUCGGGACAAGGCAAUAGUGCGCGUAAGCAUGCUGCCGAGAAAAUCCGCUAAACUUAAUCCUGCAGGUACCCGUACCGCAAACGGACACACGUAGUCGGGAUGAAUAUUCUAAGGCGCUUGAGUGAUUCACGGUUAAGGAACUAGGCAAACUGACCCUGUAACUUCGGGAUAAAGGGUCCCUACCCUUUUAUGGGAGGGCGCAGAGAAUCGGUCCAGGCAACUGUUUAACAAAAACACAGGGCUGUGCCAAAUCGAAAGAUCCAGUAUACAGCCUGACACCUGCCCGGUGCUGGAAGGUUAAGAGGAGAUGUCAUCGAUAAGAGAAGCGUUGAAUUGAAGCCCCAGUAAACGGCGGCCGUAACUAUAACGGUCCUAAGGUAGCGAAAUUCCUUGUCGGGUAAGUUCCGACCUGCACGAAUGGUGUAAUGAUCUGGACACUGUCUCAACCGUGAGCUCAGUGAAAUUGUAGUAUCGGUGAAGAUGCCGAUUACCCGCGAUGGGACGAAAAGACCCCGUGAACCUUUACUAUAGCUUAUCAUUGAAUUUGGGCACGUGAUGUGUAGGAUAGGUCGGAGGCUUUGAAGCAGGUACGCCAGUAUUUGUGGAGCCGCUGUUGAAAUACGACCCUUUAUUUGUUUGGAUUCUAACCCGUGGAUACGGGGACAUUGAUUGGUGGGUAGUUUGACUGGGGUGGUCGCCUCCAAAAGCGUAACGGAGGCUUCUAAAGGUGCCCUCCGGCCGAUUGGUAACCGGCCUUAGAGUGUAAUGGCAUAAGGGCGCUUGACUGGGAGACUAACAAGUCGAUCAGGUAGGAAACUAGAGCAUAGUGAUCCGGUGUUUCCGUAUGGAAGGGACAUCGCUCAAAGGAUAAAAGGUACUCCGGGGAUAACAGGCUGAUCCCUCCCAAGAGCUCAUAUCGACGGAGUGGUUUGGCACCUCGAUGUCGGCUCGUCACAUCCUGGGGCUGGAGAAGGUCCCAAG